rnacentral:tRNA from 3 species
GCCGAGAUAGCUCAGUCGGUAGAGC